AAAUUACAUACCUUUUUUUACAUUUAUGUAUUUAGUAUUAAAAAUAAUGCAAUAGCAAAAUUUCAGCAACCUCGACCAAAAAUUAAAAAAAACGUAAAAUAGUCUGGGCACAUGCAUGAUGGGCCACAAGAAUUUAACCCAAAAAAAAAAAAAAAAAAAAUUUUAUGGGCCACAAGAAAAGAAAAACAAAAUUUAGGGCAAAUCGUUUCAGCCUCCCCGAUCUCUCCGCCUCCAUCUCUAUUCUCGUUCUCAACUCUGAACUUACCCUCUCUGUAUGUCUCUCUCUCUCUCUCUCUCUGCACUACAAGAAUCAGAAGUUCAAAACCCAUAUAUUUCAGUUUGUCUAUCUGUCUGCAAGAAUCAAAAGUUCAAAACCCAUAUCGGCAUAUCAUUUCAGAUUGUUCAAAAAAUCAAAACCCAUAUCUUUCAGUUUCCAUCGCCCGCUGUUCCAGUUCGGGUUCGCCGUUCGCAAGCUUCAGCUGUUGUCUCUCAACUCUCCAAGCUUGCCCCCCAUUCCGCCGGCAACCCUCUACGACACAACUCUCUCUCUCUCGUGGAUCAGCUCCACCGUAUGAAUCCGCCAGUAGCCCUCCAUGCCACAACUCUCUCUCUCAUGGAUCUCGAAAUAUCCAUAGAUUGAGUCCAUAAAACCAGAUAUUGAGAUCGGCGUUCAUGGUUCUUGAAUAGGUGAUCGUCAACGUGUAACCGAGCCCGAGCCCGAGCCGGGCCGAGCCGAGUCCGAGCUUGCGAAAACUUUAAGAUAGUAUCUGUUGCUCUUCCAGUAUCCGUUGGUCUUCUAGUGUAACCAUUUGGGUAGGCGUUCCUAAGACCAGAUGCUGAAAAUCCUAAGACCAUUUGGGUAGAGAUGAUAAUUUUCAGCAUCUGCCUACCCAAAUGGUUACACUGAAGACCAACAGAUACUAUCUUGUUAUGAGAUCACUCGUGGGAGUCCGUUCAGAAAUACGAAGGGGUUUGGUUGAGUCAUCACAAUCGGGUUUAGGAGCUAUUGCUGAAUCAUUUCGAGUUGAUAAUUCUGAUUCAACAACAAAUUUUUUGAAUGAUUCCGAUCUAGCCUAUUGUAGAUCAAUUCUUUCAAUACCAUAGAAUCCUGCAAAAACAUUUGAAAAGGUCCUCAAACGUAUAAAGGACAUGGGGUGCGAGUAUAUGGACUACAACAAAAACAUGUUGUAGCUAAGCCAUCAUCAUUUCGUCUCUCCACAUGUAGCUUGGACCUAAAACUGUAUCAUACUUAUCCAUUUAUUUUCAUAAUUUUCUCCUCUUUGCAGUAUGUUUUUUUUUUUUUUUUUUUAUUUAAAUUUUGUCUCCCCAAUCUAAUACUUUCUUCAUUUGUUUUUAUUGCUCUAUUUUCAGCUGUAUAGAUGCGAUAUAUUCCCAGCUGUUUUCUAUAGAUUCGAUAUAGUUAUACACAUAAAUUUUCACACAUCUCUUCUCUGCAUAAAUAUACUGAUAUUAAUUUUGGGACCAUAGUUAGACCUAUUACAUCAAAAGGAUGGAAUUCUUAAGCUCGAGUCAAAUUUCUAAUAACUCAAAGCUUAUAAGUCGACUCUCUCCCUCUUUUCAAGCUAUAAGACCUUUUUAGCCGAAAAAACUUUCCAAGCCUUUUUUGAUUGUUUAUCUUGUAGAAAUAUAGAAGAACUACUGUCGGCUUUGCUCACCAAGCGCAUGUUGAUAUGUCUCAUAUAGUCCAUUCUAUUUCUGACAUUAACAUACACAAAUCAGUGCUUUUUGAAGGUCCAGCAGGUUUGUUUCUGUCAAACAAUUAGUCCUUGAAGUAUAUUUAAUUUUAAUAACCAAUAGUCAUUGUCCUGUAGGAUGACAUAUUUAUCUCAUUUAAUUUCAGGUACCAGGAAGACUUCUUGUGCUCGUCUUAUUGCCAGUCGAACGGGUGUUCCGAUGCUAUUUGUGCCAACCGGAGUUAUUUUGCUAGAGUAUAUCGACAAUAGUGAACGCCUAUUAGGAGAACUAUUUUGGAUUGCUCAUAGGCUUCCUGGUGCUGUAAUAUUCCUUGAUGGGGCAUGAUACAUUUACUCUUCCUCGUUGUGAUGAAGAGUAUAAAGCUACAUGCAGAAUUGCAUCAAAGUUACUGGAAGAGAUUGAAGAUAUUGAACAUGAUGAAAAAUAAUGGUCAUUGCUGCAGCCAGUAGUACACACAAGCUUUAUGGAAAUUUGUUAAGGUAUUUAGGUGGCAAUUUUUAUUUAUACGGCGGUAAUUCCCAGGUUUUCUAACUUGUAUUUUAUUUUAUUUUUUAUUAUUAUUUUUUUUUCAGUGAGGAUUAAAUUUGACCUACCUGAUUAGGGGAACUGCCAAAAAAUAGCUUUGCUAUUUGCUAAGCCCUUGACAGCAAUUGAAUUAGCUGAAUUUGCAACAAAUAGUGAAGGGUAAGUUUGACAUAACCAUCACUGAUUAAAAACUUUUGCCUUUUGUCUUUUUUUUCUUUCUUUCUUUCUUUCUGUUCUAUGCAUUUGAAAUAUGUUUGGUUUGCUUUGACUCUAACAAACAACAAAUAGUGAAGGGAUACGUACUUGGAGACAUCUGGGUAUAUCCCGAAACCUAGGACUAUAAAUGUCAUCAUUAGGGCAAGAAUAAAGAAUUAAGGCUUUAUUUACAUAAUAUCUUUUAGUUUCUUGUUAAUUUCAUGCAUUCCGAAUCAUAACUUUCUUUGAAUUAAUUCUAUGCAUAUUGGAAAUUUUAUUUACCUAUUCACUUCACGUUCUUUUUCAUGAAGAACACCAUUUGUUAAAUAUUAAAGGGUGAUCAGAGAAUAAAAGGAAUGAAACUCAAUUUUCCUAUGUAAUAUGAAUGUAAAUUGCAUUUAAAUGAAGUAUUCAAAAUUAUGCAAUGAAGAUUGAACCUGAACAUUAUAAUCAAGUAAAUUCCAAAAGCCUAUAUUUAAAACUCGGGGGGAAAAUGAUGACUCUCAGAUUCCAAACUAAACAAAGAAAAAAUUAUCAAACACAAUAAACAUAGAGUAGAAACAUAGAAAGAAAAAGAAAAAGAGAAAAGCAAAUAUGGAUAGUCAUAACUAUAAAGCAAAUAUGCAACCAACAAAAUUUAUGUUGAGAUCAGUAAAAUCGAACCUGCAUUUUAACAUUAAUAUAAGUUUUUGAUAGAGAAGGAAGUCGAGAAGCCGAAUUAGAGAAGGAAAUUAUUUGAUAGAGAAGGAAAUCCUUUGGUAGAGAAGGAAAUUAUUUGUUAUCUAAAUUAUUAAGCGUUUGAUAGAGAAGGAAGUCGAGAAGCUGAAUUAGAGAAGGAAAUCGUUUGUUACUUUUGAAGUAUGAACCCAACCUCAAAAAUCCUAAUUUAAUCUAAAACCGUAACAUUAAUAAAAUUAAAAUCUCUAAAUUAUUAAGUGUUUGAAUUGUUUUGUACCUUUCGUCUACCAGAGCAAAAUUGAACUUGCAUUUUAACAUUAAUAUAAGUUUUUGAUCGAGAAGGAAGUCGAGAAGCCGAAUUAGAGAAGGAAAUCGUUUGAUAGAGAAGGAAAUUAUUUGUCACUUUUGAAGUAUGAACCCAACCUCAAAAACCCCCAAUUUAAUCUAAAACCCUUAUAUUAAUAAAAUUAAAAUAUCUAUAUUAUUAAACGAUUUGAAUUGUAUCGUAUCUUUCAUCUACCAGAGCAAGCGUUCAUCAGACAAAGAGAGAGAGAUUAACUGCGAGGGUGUAGAGAAUGCUUGCUGCUUGCGGCCCAAGCGUGUGCUUGCUUCUCAAGUUAGGGUUUUAUUCAACUUUUAGGAAUUCAUCUUAUAUUUAUUUAGAGUGUCAAGUGCUAAAAAAAAAAAAAAAAAAAAAAAAAAAUUCUCAUUAAACUAUUCAAUCAUUGGAAUUCCCUUGGAACUACAAAAUGCUCUCUUUAAUUAUUAAUUUGUUGUAAUUAAAGACAAUUCCAUUACAAAAGAUAAUUUUAUCUUUUUCUUAGUAAAUUUGUCAUUUUUAUUAAAUAUUUUAAUUAUUGUUUCUCUUAUCUAAAUCUUAAUUAUACCAUUUACUUUAAUUUUAUUAUUAAUAUCAAUUUAUCAUAAAAAUAAAUAGAUUUGUAAUUACCAUUUUCUAAAAUGAUUAACUUACUAUUUAUUUUUCAUACUAUAUAUUCAUGAAAAAUUAAUAAAAUACUUAAAUAAAAAUACAUUCUUUUUCAUGCAAUAAAUUCAUGACAACUUAAGAAAUUACUUAAAUUGUUUUACAAUUUUACUGCUGGAUAUAUUUAUUUAAACUGUUAAUUUAAAAAAUUAAAGGUAAAUUUAUGCAAAUUUAAUGGAGAAUAUAUCAUCAAAUUAAUAUGAUUUUUUUUCAUAAAUUAUUUCAAUAACAAAAAUUGUUAAGUGUAAUUCAAGAGGAAAGGGCAUAAUGUUCUUUUAAUGAAAAAUAGCUUUUAGGCAUUGGGACAUUUUGCAAGAAAAUGUGAUAUUUCAUGGGGUAUUAUGCACAAAAUAUAUUUCAAGUGAGUAAUUUGCAAAUUUGAAUAUAGUUUAGUGUGUUUUUUUGCACUUUAUCUUUAUUUAUAUUUUUAAAAGUGUUUCUAAAUUUAUUUUUUAUUAUUUUUUUUUUUUAUUUAUUUUUUCAGUUAACCUUUUAAGUCUUUUUUUGACUUUAAUCCGGUAAGUCUGUUUUUUUGGGUAAAUAAUUUUCUAAGUCUUUUGUUGGCGAAAAAUCUAGGGAUUAUUACGUAUAAAUAAUGUAAAUGACUCAUAUUUACCAUUGAUUUAGUCAAAGUUUCAUAAUUUCAAAAAAAAUGAAAACAUGAAAAAAUACUGUUUAUCCUCACUGAGGUACCACUUUUAAGAUCAUAUCUGAGCUUUGGGACUAGAUAUUUGAGAUGGUUCUUUGGUUAUUGACAUAUCCACUCAAUUAAAAUUUAUUAAUCCACUUAAUAUUCAGGUUAAAAUUUUAGGUAGAAUGGGUAGUCAUAUUAUUUUUAAUUGGUCAAUGCAUGCUUAAAUUUAAGAAAGUGUGAUACUCCACUUCUUUAUCUCAAACAUUAAUAACAAAUUAAAUAUAUUCCGUCAAAUAAUUAUAUGCAACUCUUCAAAUCAAAUAUCAUUACUCUUAUAUCACCAAUGACUUAAGAGUUACGUUUAAUGGCAUGUUGGCAUACUUGUGUUGAUUAUGAUUUUCUUGAUAUUCCUGUUUAAGAUCUCGAAUUUCUUUAUCUAUUAUUUGCUUGUUGAUUCAAGGGAGCCCAAAGCAAAUGCUUUAGGCAUUUUUUACUGAGCCAUUGUGCUCACCCAUUCUUUAACAUUUUUAUGACAUGGUAAGGAAAUUGUAGAAGAAGCACCCUGCAAGCUUAGAAAUCGUUGAUGCAUUUUGUUAUUCUUUGGAAAUGUAAUUACAUAGACAAUGGAAUCAUUUAAUCUUAUUCUUUUGCUAGAUUCAUGUGAAGCUUUUGUAAUCAUGGCCACGGAGGCCUUAUUGUUUUGUAAAUCUAUUCUUUUGGAUAAUGAGUAUUCUUUUGGGAUAUGUAUGUAAUGGAUCAUGAAAGUUUUCAAUCUUUAAAUGAUGAAUCAAUUA